AAACCAACCGGGAUUGCCUCAGUAACGGCGAGUGAAGCGGCAAGAGCUCAAAUUUGAAAGCUGGCUCCUUCGGGGUCCGCAUUGUAAUUUGCAGAGGAUGCUUCGGGUGCGGCCCCUGUCUAAGUGCCCUGGAACGGGCCGUCAGAGAGGGUGAGAAUCCCGUCUGGGAUGGGGUGUCCGCGCCCGUGUGAAGCUCCUUCGACGAGUCGAGUUGUUUGGGAAUGCAGCUCUAAAUGGGUGGUAAAUUUCAUCUAAAGCUAAAUACUGGCCGGAGACCGAUAGCGCACAAGUAGAGUGAUCGAAAGAUGAAAAGCACUUUGAAAAGAGAGUUAAAAAGCACGUGAAAUUGUUGAAAGGGAAGCGCUUGCGACCAGACUCGCCUCCAGGGUUCAGCCGGCAUUCGUGCCGGUGUACUUCCCUGGGGGCGGGCCAGCGUCGGUUUGGGCGGCCGGUCAAAGGCUCCCGGAAUGUAGUGCCCUCCGGGGCACCUUAUAGCCGGGAGUGCAAUGCGGCCAGCCUGGACCGAGGAACGCGCUUCGGCACGGACGCUGGCAUAAUGGUCGUAAACGAC
rnacentral:rRNA from 5 species